UACGUAGGGGGCGAGCGUUGUCCGGAUUCAUUGGGCGUAAAGAGCUCGUAGGCGGCUUGGCAAGUCGGAUGUGAAAACUCCAGGCUCAACCUGGAGCCGCCAUUCGAUACUGCUAUGGCUAGAGUCCGGUAGGGGAGUGUGGAAUUCCCGGCGUAGCGGUGAAAUGCGCAGAUAUUGGGAGGAACACCGAUGGCGAAGGCAGCACUCUGGGCCGGCACUGACGCUGAGGAGCGAAAGCGUGGGGAGCGAACAGG
rnacentral:rRNA from 1 species